GCCCGGGUGGUCUAGUGGUAUGAUUCUCGCUUAGGGACUGCGAGAGGUCCCGCGUUCGAUCCGCGGCUCGGGCC
rnacentral:tRNA from 1 species